UUCUGGGGGUCCUAGAUUAAUGAAGUCAUCGUAUUUGUGUUCCUUGUGUAGCUGAUGAGAGUGCAGCAGCAGCAGAGCACUGAUCUGGAGCAGCAGAAGCUGCAGGCAGUAGAGAGCGCUCUGGGCCUCAGGCUGGACCGGAUGGAGCAGAUCGCUGCCGCAGAAAUGGACCUGCAGAGGGAGCGCAAACAGUGCACUGCACUACAAGAGCAGGUGGAGAAACUAGAGCAGGAGGUGUGUGAGCGGGACUCCAGACCAGCGCUGAGGGACGUCAGGAGGCCCAGAGGAACCACAGCCGCACAAACAGGCAAAAACUGCAGGGAGUGGAAAAGGGACCUGCUGACUGGAAAAAGCUGCUCAAGAAAACCAUAA
rnacentral:lncRNA from 1 species